CAAGGAUUUUACAGAAAGGUUAACUAAUAUCGAGGAGUUAACUAGAGCUACCAUUAAGAAGUUAACUCAAGGGAUGGAUGAACACAACAAGGCGAUGGCAGCAGCCAAGUCGGAUGAAGCAAAAAGUAACAUUAAAACCCAACAACAAAAUGCCAAAACUGGCUUGCGGACCUGCAAUAAUAUUUUAGCGAUGGGAAAGCCCUUACACGCAAAGGCACCCUCAUUUAUUGGGGAUAAUAGCAUCAACCUAUCUUGGAAGGAAGUAACAAAAACUCACGUGUCCACUACCGCUUCUGCAGCUGGGGGAAAACGGCCUGCCAUUGCAGCUAAUGGAUCAAACAACAUACCAUCAAAGAAAGGUCGUGGAUCUGGUGGUUUACAAAAUCAGCUUGUUAAUAGGGCAUUGGAAGGGUUAUCGUAUGGCGGUCGCGGAGGGAUGAGGGGUGGCCGAG
rnacentral:misc_RNA from 1 species